GGGCUACACACGUGCUACAAUGGACGGUACAGAGGGUCGGCAAUAUCGCGAGAUGGAGCCAAUCCCAAAAAGACCGUUCCCAGUUCGGAUUGGAGUCUGCAACUCGACUCCAUGAAGUUGGAAUCGGCUAGUAAUCGCGGAUCAGCAUGCCGCGGUGAAUACGUUCCCGGGCCUU
rnacentral:rRNA from 1 species